UAGACUUGACAUCCCGAGCAAAGCUAUAGAGAUAUAGUGGAGGUUAUCUCGGUGACAGGUGGUGCAUGGUUGUCGUCAGCUCGUGUCGUGAGAUGUUGGGUUAAGUCCCGCAACGAGCGCAACCCCUAUCAUUAGUUGCUAACAUUUAGUUGAGGACUCUAAUGAGACUGCUUACGCAAGUAAGAGGAAGGUGUGGGAUGACGUCAAAUCAUCAUGCCCCUUAUGUCUAGGGCUACACACGUGCUACAAUGGCUGGUACAAAGGGUUGCGAACUCGCGAGAGUAAGCCAAUCCCAUAAAGCCAGUCUAAGUUCGGAUUGGAGUCUGCAACUCGACUCCAUGAAGUCGGAAUCACUAGUAAUCGUGGAUCAGCAUGCCACGGUGAAUACGUUCUCGGGUCU
rnacentral:rRNA from 1 species